rnacentral:rRNA from 1 species
GACGAACGCUGGCGGCGUGCCUAAUACAUGCAAGUUGAGCGCUGAAGGUUGGUACUUGUACCGGCUGGAUGAGCAGCGAACGGGUGAGUAACGCGUGGGGAAUCUGCCUUUGAGCGGGGGACAACAUUUGGAAACGAAUGCUAAUACCGCAUAAAAACUUUAAACACAAGUUUUAAGUUUGAAAGAUGCAAUUGCAUCACUCAAAGAUGAUCCCGCGUUGUAUUAGCUAGUUGGUGAGGUAAAGGCUCACCAAGGCGAUGAUACAUAGCCGACCUGAGAGGGUGAUCGGCCACAUUGAGACUGAGACACGGCCCAAACUCCUACGGGAGGCAGCAGUAGGGAAUCUUCGGCAAUGGACGAAAGUCUGACCGAGCAACGCCGCGUGAGUGAAGAAGGUUUUCGGAUCGUAAAACUCUGUUGGUAGAGAAGAACGUUGGUGAGAGUGGAAAGCUCAUCAAGUGACGGUAACUACCCAGAAAGGGACGGCUAACUACGUG